UCCAGCUUUUUCUUCUCUUAAAGCUUGGAGUUGGAGGGAGAUUCUCUUCACCGGCGGAUCCUCGGAGAGAUUAGAGAUUAUUGUAGCGAGUCUUAGCUCGCGGGACUUGGUGAACCCAACUCUGUAGCUCGGAGCCAGGAGAAGAUCAAAUUUAGGUCCGGGG